rnacentral:rRNA from 1 species
GGGCCCGCACAAGCGGUGGAGCAUGUGGUUUAAUUCGAUGAUACGCGAGGAACCUUACCAGGGCUUAAAUGUAGUAUGACCGGUCUGGAAACAGACCUUCUCUUCGGAGCAGAUUACAAGGUGCUGCAUGGUUGUCGUCAGCUCGUGCCGUGAGGUGUUAGGUUAAGUCCUGCAACGAGCGCAACCCCUAUUCUUAGUUGCCAGCGGUUCGGCCGGGGACUCUAAGAAGACUGCCAGCGCAAGCUGAGAGGAAGGUGGGGAUGACGUCAAAUCAUCACGGCCCUUACGUCCUGGGCUACACACGUGCUACAAUGGUAUAGACAGAGGGCAGCCACCUGGCGACAGGGAGCGAAUCCCAAAAAGUGCGUCGUAGUCCGGAUCGGAGUCUGCAACUCGACUCCGUGAAGUCGGAAUCGCUAGUAAUCG